rnacentral:rRNA from 1 species
CCUACGGGUGGCAGCAGUGAGGAAUAUUGGGCAAUGGAGGCAACUCUGACCCAGCCAUGCCGCGUGAGUGAAGACGGUUUUCGGAUUGUAAAACUCUUUCGGAUGUGACGAUGAUUACGGUAUCAUCUAAAUAAGCCCCGGCUAACUUCGUUCCAGCCGCCGCGGUAAUAAGCAGGGGGCAAGCGUUGUUCGGAAGUACUGGGCGUAAAGGGAGUGUAGGCGGUUUAGUAAGAUAGUGGUGAAAUGCCAGAGCUUAACUUUGGAAUUGCGAUUAUAACUAUUAGACUAGAAGGACAGCGAGGAUAGUGGAAGACCCAGUGUAGAGGUGAAAUGCGGAGAGAUUGGGUAGAAAACCAGUGGCGAAGGCGACUAUCGGGCUGUACAUUGACGCUGAGGCUCGAAAGCAUGGGGAUCAAACAGGAGGAGAUACCCUAGUAGUC